UACGUAGGUGGCAAGCGUUGUCCGGAUUUACUGGGCGUAAAGAGCGCGCAGGCGGUCGUUCAAGUCGAGUGUGAAAGCCCCCGGCUCAACUGGGGAGGGUCACUCGAUACUGAUCGACUCGAAGGCAGAAGAGGGAAGCGGAAUUCCCGGUGUAGUGGUGAAAUACGUAGAUAUCAGGAGGAAUACCGGAGGCGAAGGCGGAUAGCUGGGCCAACAUUGACGCUGAGACCCGAAAGCGUGGGGAUCAAACAGG
rnacentral:rRNA from 1 species